rnacentral:lncRNA from 1 species
UAGCCCCAUAAGGGUAUAAGGGAGUUUUUUCAAUUUAAGUGACAAUCGAAACGAGAUUAUUAUUUAAGAAUCAGAGUCGCCACUUGGGAUAAUUUAUGGUGUUCCAAGUCACCGGUUUAAAAUUCCGAAUCGAGGAAGUUCGACUCUAAAUACAGUCUUCAAAUACAAAAUUCGGGUAAGGAAUUCCGUUAACCCAGGAGAAGGUGUUAGGAAUUCUCGUAUUCCGAGGUUCUAGCACGAUCGCUUUGAUCAUACUUGGCCUAAUCAAAUUGUCUAAUUACUUCUUUUAGAACCUAUG